rnacentral:lncRNA from 1 species
GGUGGAGUUCUCCUUCUCCCAGUACGCUGAUGGGAUGAGCGUCCGGAGGGCCAUCCAGCAGCUGAGCUACAAGGGUGGCAACACACGGACCGGUGCCGGCUUCCGCUACGUUGCUGACAACUUUUUCAGCCCCACACAGCUCCGGCCUGGGGUCCCCCAGGUAUGUGCAGGGCAGUGGCCUUGGGGAUACCCCAGGGGGGAUGUGGCCCUGUGCUGGGUCUCACAGCUCUUGCCCAAUGCCGCAGAUCUGCAUCCUCAUCACGGAUGGCAAGUCCCAGGAUGAUGCCGAGGGCGCAGCAGCAAAGCUGAAGAACCAGGGCAUCAAGAUCUUUGCCGUAGGUGAGCAAGGCUUCAGCACCAGAUGAGGGGCUCUCCUGGUGGGUUCAGGGUCCCUGUCCUCACCCAUCAUCUCCAUCCCUGCCAGGGAUCAAGAAUGCUGACCACAAGGAGCUGAUCCGCGUGGCCUCAAUGCCCACCGAUGCCUUCUUCUUCUACGUUGGUGACUUCAAGCUGCUAGGAACACUGGUGCCACUGAUGACACGCAGGGUGUGCACAAGUGUUGGAGGCACCCUGCGCCGGCUGGAUGGGCCAAGCCACACUGGCCCCUCCAACCUGGAGAUCCUGGAGCGGGGCCUCGACCAGCUGCGGAUCCGCUGGACGGCGGCCAGCGGCCCCGUCACCGGCUACCGGGUGCAGCGUGUGCCGCUGACGGGGCUGGGGCAGCCGGUCGUGGCCGAGAGGCAGGAGGUGAGCGCUCCCACCCACCUGCUCAGAGUCCCCGGGGGUCCUCGGUGGCCCCCUGUGUGUCCUGGGUAUGGUGAGGGGGUGACACUGUCCCUGCCCAGGUGAGCCUGGGGCCGCGGGAGACGAGCACGGUGCUGCGGGGGCUGCGCAUGGGGACGGAGUACCUGGUCACCGUCACCGCCCAGUACGCCAACAGCAUCGGCGAGUCGGUGUCCGGCCGGGCACGCACCCAGAGCCGUGCCGGCUCCGUGCUGGAUUUCCGUGUGGUGGAGACUGGACCGACCUUCCUACGGCUCGCCUGGCAGCCCGGCCCCGAGCCCCCCCAGGGCUACGGCCUCAGCUACGCCGUGAAAGGAGCAGCCCAAGAGGAGGAGAAGACCCUGGGGGCCAGCGCGCAGUCGGCCACGCUGAGCAACCUGCGCCCCGACACCGAGUACGUGGUGAUGCUCCGGCCCCGCUACGCGCAGCAGCCCAGUGUCCCCGCCACCCUCACUGCCCGGACACGACGCCUGCUGGGUGUGCAGCAUUUGGUUGUCCACAAUGUCUCGGCGCAGAGCAUGCUGCUGGCCUGGCAGCCUGUCAGUGGUGCCACCGGCUACCGGCUCUCCUGGGCAACCCUCGCAGGGCAGGACAGGCACAGGGUGGACCUGGAUGCCAGGCAGACAUCACAUGCGCUGGGGGGGCUGCAGCCCAACACUGACUACGUGGUGACGGUAGCCCCGCUCUUCGGGCAGCUGGAGGGGCCCACAGCCACCGUGAGGCAGAGGACAGAAGCGGGUCUGGAGCAGACACUGAGGACCAACAUCCUGGGCCCCACGUCCAUCCAGGUGCUCUGGACUGGCGCUCGCGAUGCCCGCGGCUACCGCCUGGAAUGGAAGAGAGCCACAGGACCAGAGCCCCCCAGGACAGUGUCGCUCCCCAGCAGUGCCAACACCUACCAGCUGACAGGGCUGCAGCCGGGCACCGAGUACCGCAUCACCCUCUACACGGUCUAUGAUGGUGGGGAGGUGGCCACCCCCGUCACCACCUUCCAGACAGGCGUGGAGGUGCCCGUGGGUGCCGUAUCGGACCUGAGGCUCAUUGAGGAGUCGGGCAGGCGAGUGCGGCUGGGCUGGACCGGCGUCCCCGGUGCCACCGAGUACAAAGUGGUGGUGCGCAACAGCCAAGAUGGCACGGAGAGGACAAGGCGCAUCCCGGGAAGCCAGACGGGGCUGGAGCUGGGUGACCUCCGGGAGGGCAUCGCCUACCUGGUGCGUGUCUCGGCACUAGUGGGUGGCCGGGAGGGCAGUCCUGCCACGCUGACCGUCCGCCUCAAGUACCCAGCGGUGGGCAGCAUCUCAGAGCUGCGGGUGACGGAGGCUGGUCCCAGCCAGCUGAGGGUUUCCUGGCGAGGGCUGCCGGGCGCCGGGGGCUACCUGCUGACCUGGCGAGGCAGCGAUGGUGUGGAGCAAUCCCGUUUCCUCCCUGCCGACCCCACCACCUUCACCAUCGAGGGGCUGCGUGCCAACAUUGUCUACACCGUCAGCGUCUCGGCCAUUGUGGAUGGCCGUGAGGGCAGCCCUGUCACUGCCACAGGACGGAUAGCCCCUGAGCAGGUGGGGAUGGUGUCCCAGCUGGAGGUACAGGCAUCCAAGAGCAACGUUGCCCGUGUCACCUGGGUCGGUGUGCCAGGAGCCACUGCCUACCGUGUGGUGUGGAGCCGCAGGGACGGGGGCUCGGAGAACAGCCGGCGGGUUCCUGGCAACACCAGCUCCUUCGACAUCCCCGACCUGGAGGGAGGUGUCUCCUACACCGUGAAGGUGACAGCGCUCAUCGGCAACCGGGAGGGCAACCCUGUCUCCAUCAUCGUCACCACCCCGGAGGCAGCCCCACUGCCCCCCGUCAGCAACUUCCAGGUGACGGAGGCCUCAGAGCACCGCCUGCGCCUGGCCUGGGUACCGGCGGCCGGCAGCGCCGGGUACCGCCUGGUCUGGCGCCUGGCUGAGGGGGGCCCCCAGCGCAGCCAGCAGCUCCCGGCCACUGCCAGCUCCUACGACCUGGGGGGGCUGGAGCCAGGACGGCGCUACCACAUCAGCAUCACCAGCCUGGCCAGCGGCCGGGAGAGCCAGCCGGCCACUGUCACUGCCAUCACUGCAGCUGCCCCGGCCCGUGUCACCAGCCUGCAGGUGACAGAUAUACGGAGAGACUCGGUGACACUCACCUGGACCCCUAUCCCUGGUGCCUCUGGCUACAUCCUCUCCUGGAGUCCCCCAGCAGGUGAGAUGGGUGGGUGGCCCCAGGACAUGGAACAGUGUCCUGGCGGGUGCUUGCCAUCCCCCCUGACUCUGUCCCCUGGGUGUCAGCCGGUGGGGAGACGAGGCGGACGCUGCCUGGUGCUGCCAGCUCCCAGCAAGUCUCCGGGCUGCGCCUGGGCCAGCGCUACACCUUCACCCUCCGCCCGCUCCUGGGGAGCACACCGGGCGCUGAGACCUCCGUCAGCGAGCGCACAGUCUGCAGGGAUGCCCGCGGUGACAUCGUCUUCCUGGUGCACGGCACACGCGACAGCUCCUCCGGUGCUGAUGCCAUCCGCACCCUCCUCUCCAACACCGUGUCUGCCUUGGGGCGCCUGGGCCCUGAGGGCACCCAGGUGGCUCUGGCCACGUACAGCUACCGCAGCCUGCCCUGGCUGCUCCUCAACCGCUCCAGUGACCUGCCCACCGUGCUGGAGCAGAUCCGCACCAUACGCUAUGAGGAACCCAGCGGCAACGCCAUCGGUGAGGGGCGGCACUGGGAGCCAGGGUAGUGGCUGGUGGGAUCCUGCUGACCAUCUGCCUCGUCCUUCUCCCUCCCUAGGGGCAGCCAUCACCUUUGCCAGGACCUACUUAUUGAGCCCUGGCGCGGGGCGCCGACCCGGUGUGCCAGCAGUGCUGGUGGUCCUGGCUGAUGGACCCUCGGGGGAUGAUGCCAUCACUGCAGCCAGGGAUAUCAAGGCUGGGGGUGAGGAUGGAUGGGGUCCCAGCAGGGUGUGCAGAGGGUUCUGCUGGGUACUGAGGGUGCUCUUGGCUCAGGGGUCCAGGUGCUGGCUGUGA